rnacentral:lncRNA from 10 species
CAAGAGGCUAACCGACUCUGAUGAGGAAACUGAAAAUCCAUCUGUAAACUCUACAGAAGCAUCGAGGAAAUCUAUCUUAUCACCCGUUAUGUAUCUAGUACUAACAAUGCCUAGCACAUGCUGCAUGACAGAGUGCUGUUGUCUCGCCAUUGGCUAUCCUUGAAGACUAUGUUGCAACUGGCACCCGAGCCACAGUCCAGAUCCACAGUGCAGCGUGACACUAGCCUGCAGAGAUGCGCAAAUCAUAUCUAAAGCCAGCACUGAUCACUGGAACCAAGCUCCAUGUCAACCAGCCUGAGUUAAAGAACCUAAGUCACACAACAAAAGUGUGCACAAUUUUCCCGCAGAACAUCAUGAGGGGACCAAGGGCUCUGAGGCUUCAUCAUCAGUGAAAACAGAGCACCAGGGUAUGAGCCCCCUGACAAGGGUCUCAGGAAGGCCGGCCCCACAGCCAGAACCAACCAAGCUGUGACUGGCAGGUGCCAAGGGACACACUGGGAGCUGAGCACUCUCAGGUACUUCUUUACUUCUUGGUACUUUCCUGGACCUUCUCCAGACAGUUUCCUGGCAGAAUAAUAGCUAAGUUCAACCCAGGACAGUUUGUGGAUUAUCACGUCUCCUGAAGCUCCACAGACAUCCCUCCUCCGUGCGUCAUGGCAGUCUUCUUUAUGGGUGAAUUCAUAACCCACACACAAGUGAAUUUUUAAUAGAGACAUGUAUAAAUGUUCUUCAACUAGCAGAGCUUAAAACCAAUAAACAUGUAUUUUAUAGGUUCAGUGAAGUGCUG